CAGCUUUAGCACCUGAAACACGUUCAUUUACGGCCCUUAGUUUCAGGCCACUAAUUAAAGCUCAUCUCAGUGAGUUUUCCUUGUUUCCCUGCCGUCUCAUGAGAAAUCCUUGCAUGUCAAUGUAAAUUAGAGGCGGUCCCACAUUCUGUGCCAAACACCAGAAAGGAGAAGGUGCCAGGAACGUUUCCGGUAUUUGGCAACAAUUAAGCAACGCUGUGAAAAAAAAAAUACAAGAAGAGAGAAGAGAGGAUGAAAGUGUUUUACCUCCGUUCUGGGUGAUGUAUCGCACCCAGGGAAGGGCCUGAUAGCCGCUCUUCUCGAUGAUCUUCAGGUAACGCACCUGUCAAAACACACACACCACUGUCACACUGCAAUGCAUUGUGGGUGAAUUCAUUAAGCCAAACCUUCUAAAAGCCUACAACGCAAUGGGAAUAAAUAACAACCCAUUCAAACAAUGCAAAGCAAUAUUUAGUUUGUUCUUUAAGUAAAUUAUACUUUUCAAAUGCACAAUGCAGAGCAAA